rnacentral:rRNA from 1 species
AACUAGGAAUCGAAAUACUAUUAGAUGAAUGACUAGGCUCUGCAGCCGAUGAAGGAUGAGACAAGCUUCAGAAUGUUUUGGGAAGUGGAAUGUACACGUUGAACCAAAAAUUUCUGAAUGGGACUUCCCAGAUAAUCCGCAAGGAUAGGGAACACGGAGAAUUGAAGCGUCUUAGUAUCCGUAGGAAAAGAAAUCAAUUGAGAUGCUGUUAGUAAGUGCGACUGAAACCAGUAUAAGGCAAACUGAAUCUUCUUUAGUGAUAUUGAAGACAUGUGGUGAUUGGAGCUCUAUUGUAUCUUUUGUGGAUUUGUUAAAGUUUGCUGGAAUGCAACGCUAAAGAGGGUGAUAGCCCCGUAGAUAGGUCACCUUAAGAUGCUGGAGAUUUCCAGAGUACUGUUUAUUUGAUAUUAAACAGGAAUAUAGGAGGCAUCAACUUCUAACCUUAAAUACUCGCAGAGUCCGAUAGCGCACUAGUACCGUGAGGGAAAGUUGAAAAGAACCCUUAACAGGGAGUUAAAAGAGUCUGAAAUCUAAUAGUGAUAGAAAGGUACGGCCCUUCGGGGUUGUACCAUACGUUUAGAAUAACGUGCCAGGGAGUUUAUCUGAGUGGCAAGAAUAAUUUUUUCAAAAAGGAUUCGUAGGGAAACCAAUAUCCACGCAAUUUAUGAGGUGGAAGGUAUUAAACUACCUAUAGUCACUUGGAUAUGACCCGAAACCGGACGAUCUAACCUUGGGCAAGGUGAAGUAUGGGUAAAACCAUAUGGAGGCCUGAAGAGUUGCUACGAGCAAGUGUUCUUCUGACUUGGGGUUAGGGGUGAAAAGCCAAUCGAGUCCGGUAAU